rnacentral:sRNA from 1 species
UCAGAUACUACUACUAUCUGACUAGUCUAUAUAAAUAGUAGAACUCACGUAUCAGUUUGUGAAAGUUCUUUUUUUGUCAAAACAACUUUACGCAAAAGAAGAAUGGCCAAGUGGCAGCUCAUUUUUAUUCUCAGCCUAGCAUUGUUGGUGGCCUGUACUGACUCGGCACCAGCUCCACUCCAAAGACAAAAGAGAGUGAG